ACCCCAAAACAAAACACCAUUGCUCCUCAUUGGAAUUCAAGGCACAUCACUCUGUCAUUCUGUGGCAGCAUCAACAAUCCACAGCAGAAAAUAACUUGCGUAAGCACGGCAUACCCGGGAGCACUUAAAAGCCCCGCUAAGCUCAGCCACAUGAGAUCUGUAAUAAAACAUUGCUCAGCUCAUUUAAUGAUUGGAAGGCAUGAUGUCCAGGACUCCAGUAGUUCAGCAACCAGCACAGGAUUUACUGAAGAGUCAUAGCAGAGCUAAGCAACAUGAGUCAAUGAAACUACACAUCGCAGGCAUCAUUAUUGUUACACAUUGAAAUUUUCAUUUCAGAGUGGUUGAUAGUUUUGCUAUGAUAGCUGAACCACCAUCCUUAAAGCUGUUUAAAAAUACCAAGACUGGGCACAUCUCAGUGUAUUUCCACUGAAUGUCGACUACUUAGGUCAUUUGUUGAUUAUUUUUCUUCCUGACAAAGCAGCUGGGAGAUGUUCUGUCAGCUAUUGAUCAUGCAACUUAUCAGCUAUUCACAACAUACGUCUUUGUAGCUGCUGCGAAAUCUAAACAACUUGGAUUCAUUAAUUAACCUUCUCAUAUUUGGCAGGAGGGGGGAGUAAAAGUAAAAAGUAUAUAUGGCCUCCAAGCUGCUGUUGUUUUUAAUUCCUUUUAAAUGUUGACCAAAGGAGAAAAAGAAAUAAAGUGCUAGUGCAAUACACAGUCUUUUGUGUGCAUGGGGACAUUGUGCUUGUUGGCUGUGGAAAAAGAACUCUGUAUGUUCAGGGGCGAUAACUUUACCACAGCCAGCUAUAGGAGCCAAAUAUAGUAAUAGGAUGGCAAUGUGUUCUCCUAUUCAGAGGUCAGUCUCCUAGCUCAAGGCACCCUUUCUUCGAAAGGCUGACUGGCCUAAGUCCAGUUUCAACAGCACCCAGACAGCUGAACAAAGAGCAGCAAGGUCAGGAGGUUCUGAGGGUUGAGAUGCAGACCCCAAGGCCUGCUUCACAUUUGGUCUCACACAAAGGCUAGAGUGGCCUCUGCAAGAAGUAGGGCUUUUUCUAUAGUGUCCAUAGCACUUUGAAAUGCUCUCUCCCAAGAGAUUCAUAUGGCCACCUUCCAGUCCUACUCCAGCCAUUAGGCAGAGUGAGGUGGGGGCCCCAGGCAGAAAUUGUGGGUGUCACAAAAAGGCAACAAAUUGUUAGGUAUAUAACUUAGUAUUGUUGAACUGCAGGGCUGUCUUAAGCAUAUGCGGCGCCGGGGACAAAGAUCUGCCCGGUGCCCCCCCCAGUUGCUCAGUCCCAGGUGCAUAGAAAUGCAGAGCUGGCCAGCCGCCUCAACGUCUCCUGAACUCAUGGCGCAGAGCCACCCACAGCAGAAGAGCCCACCGCAGCACUCCAACUGACAGGCAGGCCCUUCCCCGGACUCAACUCUUGGGCCCCUGACUCUUGGCCUGGCGCCCCUGAGAGCCCGGCGCCUGGGUGCCCCACACCGCUGGUGCCUAUGGGUAAAACGGCACUGGGUGUGGGGAAUGUUCAUGGUGUUUUCUGCUUUAGGGGCUAAAAUAACUUGCCUGGUGUGGCCACUAUGUUGUUGUUGUUGUUGUUGUUGUUGUUGUUGUUAAUUAUUACUAUUAUUAUUUGCUAGUUACUUUAUUUUAUCCAGGGCAACCCAAAGGGAUUUACAACCAAACAAUAUAUAAUGUUACUUUGGUGGAGAGAAUGGCUUGAGCUGGCUCCUUCCUGAUGUUGUUUUGAAGGCAAGUCAAGAUUUUAACUGUUUUAACACAUGUAACUUUUGUAUAUGCCAUUAUAUUGUAAAUCACUUUGUGAUUGGGAAGCGAUUCAUAAAUGAAUGAGCUGGUGGCCAGGCACUCAUUAAGAAGUCAUUGUGCAGUUAACUUAAAGUGCAAUGCUAUAUCUAUCUAUUUCAGAAGUAAGUCCCUUUGUGUUUUAUGGGUCUUACUCCCAGGCGAGUGGGUACAGGGUAGAAGUCUAGGCUUUGGUUUAGGGUUGGCAUUGCGGAAAACAGGGUUCUUGUGUCUUUAACAGCUCUAGCUCCAUAAUCAGGACCAGCAGGACAUAGCUGGCUUCCCACGGUGGAAAACACAAGGUUGUCCUGGGAUUACUUUCUUCAGGUUUUGGUUAUGCCAUGAGUCCCUUGGCAGCCAUUUUAUGACUGGCACCCACAGCACUCUCUCAAAAAUAAAAAUGCCCCCUCUAUAGGUAUCCCUGUAGUACCUUUUUGACUACAGGCCUAGAGUGAUUCUGGCCUCCUGCCGCAUUCCUGGCUUAUGGCUGUCUAGCCUGUGCUUUAAUUCCUUCGGUGGAGGAGAGCCCAUCAUCUCCUGAAGCAGUCUCUUCAGAGUCAUCCAGGCUAUGGGCUCAAACAAGACUUGUUCCAUGUCAACUCCCAGCAUAAGAGUUCUGUUUGAUAGACCAGAAGAGUCCUGUAAAGUUGAAAUGGUACAUUUUCAAAUGAUAUACGUAAAGAUAUGCCAUUAUGUGUUAGUCUCAAGAAUAAUUUUAUGCAGAUUCCCCAUUCCUUUCUAUUUUAUUAAAUAUAUCUUUUGUUCUUCUAAAGAGUCAUAUUGCUAAAAUGUGUCCUAUGUAAUCUGUUGAUACUAAACAGGCACCUCAUGCUGAACGUGUGUUAUAAG